GAAAUGUUGGGAUAAGCCUAGUUGUUGGAAUAAAGUGGAGACUUCCUCGUGGUUCUGUCAGGAUUUCUGGGGUAAAGCAGAGGAACUACUGGUAUGUAAUCCUGCUGUAACAAAGAUAAGUCUUGUGACACAUUGAAGACUGUUGGGCUAAACUUUGGUGAACUGCAGGCACUCCAUGCUGCGUUACUAAAAAAAACCUGAUACCAAUAUUGUUAUUUUUUAAGAAGCUAUAAUAGUCUUUGUACUUAGUUUUUUAGAAUUUUUUCUGUUUAUUUUCACUAUCUAUGCAUAUCAUGUCACCUGCAAGGUACAAAGUAUCAACACCAGCCAAGGUGUUAAGGUCCACCACAAACUUUGUAUUUUUGUUAUUUGCUUGGAAUAGAGAACAAGUGUGGCAAUGUUGUCAAGCAUCUACAUGAUUAGCAAGCUUUUGACACUAAUGAUUCCCAAGUUAUAUGAAGACUUGGAAGGCUUCCUUAGAAUUAAAUCUUAAAUAAAAAGAUAUGAGAGCAUAUACUUUUUGUGGAAUUGGUUUAAAUUCUGUGCAACUGUUGAACAAUAGGUUAAUGAAUACAGGUCAUGUAACAAAAGGUUAAGUUUUAAAUUAUUUCCAAGUAUUUAAUAACGUUUAUACUAGAAUUCACAAUACCAUUUGGCCACAAGCUUUUAAAAUCGUAUAAUGUAUAUGUAUAAUAUGUGUGUCUAAAAUGUAUUUCAAGGGAACUAGGACUGUACUGCCACCUUGAAAACACAGAAGAGGUUAACAGUGAAGUUGUAUGUUUCACUAUAUCCCAGGUACUUUGGACAAAGCCUUCAAGUCAAUACUCCGGACCCACUUACAACCCUCUUAGUUCAAAGAGCUACAGAAGGGUUGAUUAGCAGUCUAGAUAAAGGAAUAGAUAAAGUGAUGGAAUGGGAAGUGGAUGAAGUGCUAAAAUGGACAAAUGCGCUCAACUAUGAAAACUAUAUAAAAGAAUGGAGGCAGAUUGGAACAAGCAAGGUUUCCGAGGGAUAUCGAGGUUUCCAGUUUUCUGAACGAUCCCAUGAUCUUUCUCAGUUACCACAGAAACUCCAGGAAAUUGUGCAUUCUCGUAUGACUUAGACAAACAAGAACGAGCAAACAUCCUGAAUUGCUUAAGAAUAAUUGUAGUGGAGUAACACACAGUCUCAAUUUCAGUAACAUUAAAAUAAAGCAUUGGGAAAUAAAAAAAUGAGAAAACUGACAUAACUUUCACUCCAUUUCACCUAUUGUUGCCCACCUGCAACUGUGUAAAUGAGUAAGCAUUGCUUCUGCUAUUAUCCUUGAUCUAUAUUUGGAUGAGAGGUUUGUCUUCUUCAUGAAUAUUGCAAAGGAGUAUUCAGCAACCAUGUUUAUCUCCUCUUGUACUAGUAGCUAGAGGCAGGAAGCAUGAUGUUAAUCUUUUAAAUGUUAAUGUCUUUCUACCUUCCACAUAGCCUUGCCAUAUGAAAUUGAUGAAUAACCAGAUUGACGUAACCAAAUCAGAAAAAGAGAAUAAGGAAUAGAAAUAAGACAAAAACAGGUUACCAUUGAUUUGAAUAUGCAAGUAUCUUCUCUGGUCUAGGUUUACUAGUACAAUUAUAGGGUAAAGAAAAGC
ensembl:lncRNA